rnacentral:rRNA from 1 species
CCUACGGGGGGCUGCAGUGAGGAAUAUUGGACAAUGGGCGAAAGCCUGAUCCAGCAACGCCGCGUGGAGGAUGAAGGCCUUCGGGUCGUAAACUUCUUUAGAGGGAGACGAGAAAGGACGGUAUCCCUAGAAUAAGCGACGGCAAACUACGUGCCAGCAGCCGCGGUAACACGUAGGUCGCGAGCGUUAUCCGGAUUUACUGGGCGUAAAGCGCUUGUAGGCGGUUCUGUAAGUCGGGCGUGAAAUCUCCGGGCUUAACCCGGAGUGGCCGUUCGAUACUGCAGGGCUUGAGGAUGCUAGAGGGUGGUGGAAUUCCAGGUGUAGUGGUGAAAUGCGUAGAUAUCUGGAGGAACAUCCGUGGCGAAGGCGGCCACCUGGGGCAUUCCUGACGCUGAGAAGCGACAGCUAGGGGAGCAAACGGGCUUAGAUACCCGGGUAGUC